rnacentral:snoRNA from 1 species
GACAGGAUGAUGAGUCACUCAAUGAGUGACAAUAAGCCGAGUGUUAGCGGUUCUUGAAAAUCGUGAUGAUCAUUCCCUCGAAAGCGAUAUGAUAUCUGACUGUC